UACGUAGGCAGCAAGCGUUGUUCGGAUUCAUUGGGCGUAAAGGGUGCGUAGGUGGCGAGGUAAGUCGGAUGUGAAAGCUCGGAGCUCAACUCCGAAAUGGCAUUGGAAACUACCUUGCUCGAGGGUUGGAGGGGGGACUGGAAUUCUCGGUGUAGCAGUGAAAUGCGUAGAUAUCGAGAGGAACACCAGUGGCGAAGGCGAGUCCCUGGACAACUCCUGACACUGAGGCACGAAGGCCAGGGGAGCAAACGGG
rnacentral:rRNA from 1 species